AUUGAACGCUGGCGGCAGGCCUAACACAUGCAAGUCGAACGAGUGGCGGACGGGUGAGUAAUGUCUGGGUAACUGCCUGAUGGAGGGGGAUACCUACUGGAAACGGUAGCUAAUACCGCAUACCAUCAGAUGUUCCCAGAUGGGGUUAGCUGGUUGGGGGGGUAACGGCUCACCAAGGCCACGAUCCCUAGCUGGUCUGAGCGGAUGACCAGCCAAACUGGAACUGAGACACGGUCCAGCGUCCUACGGGAGGCAGCAGAGGGGAAUAUUGCACAAUGGGCGCAAGCUUGAUGAAGCCAUGCCGCGUGUAUGAAGAAGGCCUUCGGGUUGUAAAGUACUUUCAGCGGGGAGGCGUUACCCGCAGAAGAAGCACCGGCUAACUCCGUGCCAGCAGCCGCGGUAAUUC
rnacentral:rRNA from 1 species